UAUUUUCUUUAUUCUGCUGAAACAGCGAAACCUGGUGAUGUCCUUCAGUGGUGUUAGAGGGCAACCAAUGGUUUCUUCUGCUGAAUUGAUCAUUCUCUGUAGUGCCUUCCUAUCUGCAGCUGUUAAACCAGCGUACCUUACUGUUAUAGAGUAUGUGAGGAUACUUUUUAUCGUGGACCAAUAGAAAAAAAUCAUUAGCUGUUGUUCCAUCUGGUUUUUCCACAGUACUAAAAGAAAAUGAAGUCUCUGUUGGGCCUUUCUAACCCUCAGGGACAUGUUGUAUUUCCGGGACACAAAAACCCAAGAAUAAUGGAGCACCAAAAGCCAUACGAUGCAAAUUAUUGGUCUCUAUGAGGAAGCUAAUUAAGUGUUUUCAUGUUCGUCCCCAAACAUGGGCUAAGACAUAGGAACCUG